UGGGGAAUCUUAGACAAUGGGGGAAACCCUGAUCUAGCCAUGCCGCGUGAGUGACGAAGGCCCUAGGGUCGUAAAGCUCUUUCGCCAGGGAAGAUAAUGACGGUACCUGGUAAAGAAACCCCGGCUAACUCCGUGCCAGCAGCCGCGGUAAUACGGAGGGGGUUAGCGUUGUUCGGAAUUACUGGGCGUAAAGCGCGCGUAGGCGGAUUGGAAAGUUGGGGGUGAAAUCCCAGGGCUCAACCCUGGAACUGCCUCCAAAACUAUCAGUCUAGAGUUCGAGAGAGGUGAGUGGAAUUCCGAGUGUAGAGGUGAAAUUCGUAGAUAUUCGGAGGAACACCAGUGGCGAAGGCGGCUCACUGGCUCGAUACUGACGCUGAGGUGCGAAAGUGUGGGGAGCAAACAGGAUUAGAUACCCCCGUAGUCC
rnacentral:rRNA from 1 species